rnacentral:rRNA from 1 species
UACGAAGGGGGCAAGCGUUGUUCGGAAUUAUUGGGCGUAAAGGGAGCGUAGGCGGUUCGGCAAGUCUUUAGUGAAAUCUCUGGGCUCAACUCAGAGUCUGCUGGAGAAACUGCCGGGCUGGAGUAUGGGAGAGGUGAGUGGAAUUCCCGGUGUUGCGGUGAAAUGCGUAGAUAUCGGGAGGAACACCUGUGGCGAAAGCGGCUCACUGGACCAUUACUGACGCUGAUGCUCGAAAGCUAGGGGAGCAAACAGG